rnacentral:tmRNA from 1 species
GGGGGUGUUUUGGUUUCGACAGGAAGCUAAAGUGCUGCUUAUAAGCGUGUGCGAAGUCUUGACCUUCGUAAAAAUCAAGAAAAAAAUAAACGCAAAUAAUAAUUUUGUUGCAGCUGACGCUGCAGUUGCUGCUUAAUUUUAGCAGCCCGGCAACUAUAAGUUUCCCACUAACUUUUAGUUGUUGUUAACUUAAAUGGGCGGGCAAAAAUCAAUGUUGGUGUGGUUUUUGUCGGGAUUUAAUCAACUGGUUGUCACAAAUUUUGUUUGCUUAAAUGUGAUGAUGAGAUUCAAAACAAACUAUCACACGGAGAAGGGGUAGUAAUUUACUUUUUGGACGCGGGUUCAACUCCCGCCACCUCCACCA